AACGUAGGAGACGAACGUUAUCCGGAGUUACUGGGCGUAAAGGGCGUGUAGGCGGUAUGCUAAGUCUGGCGUGAAAGCUCUCGGCUAAACCGGGAGAGGUCGUUGGAUACUGGCAAACUAGAGGACGGUAGAGGCGUGUGGAAUUCCGGGUGUAGUGGUGAAAUGCGUAGAGAUCCGGAGGAACACCAGUGGCGAAGGCGACACGCUGGGCCAUACCUGACGCUAAAGCGCGACAGCAUGGGGAGCAAACGGG
rnacentral:rRNA from 1 species